GACGAACGCUGGCGGCGUGCCUAAUACAUGCAAGUCGAACGAGUGGCGGACGGGUGAGUUAUGUCUGGGAAACUGCCCGAUGGAGGGGGAUAACUUCUGGAAACGGUAGCUAAUACCGCAUACCAUCGGAUGUGCCCAGAUGGGAUUAGCUAGUCGGGUGGGUAACGGCCCACCUGGGCGACGAUCCCUAGCUGAUCUGGGAGGAUGACCGGCGACACUGGAAGUGAGACACGGUCCAGACUCCUACGGGAGGCAGCAGUGGGGAAUAUUGCACAAUGGGCGCAAGCCUGAUGCAGCCAUGCCGCGUGUAUGAAGAAGGCCUUCGGGUUGUAAAGUACUUUCAGCGAGGAGGCGUUACUCGCAGAAGAAGCACCGGCUAACUCCGUGCCAGCAGCCGCGGUAAUUC
rnacentral:rRNA from 1 species